CAAAAUGAGGCAGAACUUAGCUUGUCACAUAGGUGUAUUCUUCCUGGAACCGAUGCGGGGUCAGAAAACUGAUGGCUUUUAAGCAAGCUGGACGGGUCCUCUCAGCGCAUUCCCCCACCCGCCUGGCGCCAAUGGAGCUGGCCUGGCCCGCCCAGCCCCUCCCCGCCCCGUCCGCGCUCGGACCGGACUUUCAGGACUGCAGGGGAAAGGGUGGACACCCAGCCUCCCGCCAGGUCAGAGCAGAGGCUAAAAAUGGCCCAGGGGAGACUGCUGGAGUUGCAUGGAGUUCGGGAGCCUAGGAGGGGUCUGAAAAUAACUGUCAAAAAGUUUGAAGGGAGGAUACAAAAAUACAUCAGUUUGCAAACCAGAAGAAGGUCCUCACCAGAAACCAACUAUGCUGGCACCCUGAUCUUGGACUUCUAGCCUCCAGAACUGUGAGAAAUAAAUGUGUGUUUAUAAACCAGUCAGUCAGUCUAUGGUGCUUUAUUAUAGCAUCUGGAACGAGCUAAGACAGCUGCUAAGUAGCAUUCCAUUUGACAAGGAAGACUUACCAUUCACACUACUUCUGAGUUCAAUGAAAGAGAGGCUCGGUUCCUUACCUGUAAAAUAGAGAUCAUAUAGAGAUGUCGGGAAGAUUUAAUAACAUCAUGCAAGCAAUAUGCCUACAAGAGUGCCUGUAAAACAUUAAGCCUUGGAAAUAAAAGAAGCAGAACUGUAACAUCCUGAGAAAACACAGAGACAUUGAAGUAUAUGAGCACGACACAUCUGCAAAUCUUUAAGCAAAAUGGUAAAAGUGAGAGCUGUGUUCUCAUUAUAAGGCUAGCUAUGUUAAUAAACUCAGAAAAUAACAAUUGGAUCUUAAAAGAACAAAAUGAAAAAAUAAUCUUCUCCAGUAACAAAUUAUAUCUACCUGUCAACUAUUUCAUAAGAUAGAAAUGUUAGGGUUGGGCAUCAUAGCCCACACCCGUAAUCUAAGCACGUUGGGAGGCUGAGGCCAGAGGAUCGCUUGAGGCCAGAAGUCAGCACUCAAAUUUCUGAUAUGAUAAGCCAAACCACUGAUGGAAUCAAUAAAGCAGACUGACAAUCUGACACUAAACUAAGCAAACAGAUUUUGUAAGUUUAGAAACUAAGGCAUGAAUCUAUUAUACAGUCACUACAUCUGCAUCUGCCAGUAAACCUAAAGCUUAACUUCAUAGACAAAUUUGAUACCCUUAAAAUUGACUCUUUUUUUAUAUAAAGCAUUUGUGUGUUUUUUGCCACUAAAAUGGUUUAUGCUAACAUUCAAAUUCCUUAUCAUAUGUGAGACUGCCACCUGUGUCCCAAAUGACCACAAAGAGGAAGAAUGUGGGUUAUCGUUUGAAUAUAAUCAUGAUCACAGCAUUGAAGAGUAUAUGAUAGAGAUUUAAUACGGCCUUUCAAUAGACUGGGAGAGAGUCUAAUAUUAAUUUUCUAAAAAGUUCCCCUCUAGAAGAUACCAACCUUGGAUAUAAUAAUUACAAACCCUACUAAAAACCAAGUAAUUUUCUUUCAAUUCUGAAAAUUGUCCAAAAGGUGUUAACUCCUUCACUCAUCAGAAAAACACUGCAUGGCAGUCAAGCCAAACAAGGACUCAGCAAUAGCAUCGUUAACAAUUAUAAUUGAAACUUGGGUCACAAUAAGUGACAUCAACUUACCAUAGAAUUAUUCCAGUUCUAUUUUUAAUCCUAUUAAAGACAGUAAUUACAAUGGUAUAAUUACAGCCCCCAAAUACUCCAUACCUGGAAUGUGGCAGCUUCUGGAGCUUUUGGAUCAGUUUCACUCAGCUCAUUGGACAAGUGCCAAUUGGUAUUACCAAUGGUGCUUAAAGUUCUGAAAACUCAAUAAAGCUUUAAAAACCUUGAGGAACAAUAGCUCAUCAGGACACCCAAAGAAUAAUGUUACAUCAUGAAGACAAACAUUCUCAUUUUCUUUCUUCUGCAGAUUUCUUUUCCUGCCUGCACUUUCUUUGAGGUUGCAGUAGAGAGUGUGUGUCUACAGAAGGUACUGUAUGCAUAGCUAUAAGGAGGUCUUACCCUCUGUCUUUUUAUCUUUCUGGGCCCUUCUUUACCCUUGUUCUUCCUCUUCUCCUCUCUUAAUUCUAUAAUGGGUCUUCACAUAUUGCUGUACCUUCUCAUGUUACUUGAAUAGAAUUUUGAUACUUAAUCUGAAAAGCUGAUAAGUGAAAACAUUUGUUUUGUGGUAUAUUAAGUACUUUAUUGAAAUUAUUAAUUUCACAUAUUUUAAAGUUAUAUAGCUUUUAGCUAAUUUUUUGGAUAAU
rnacentral:lncRNA from 1 species